AUUGAACGCUGGCGGCAUGCCUUACACAUGCAAGUCGAACGGCAGCACGGGAGCAAUCCUGGUGGCGAGUGGCGAACGGGUGAGUAAUAUAUCGGAACGUGCCCAGUCGUGGGGAUAACGUAGCGAAAGCUACGCUAAUACCGCAUACGAUCUACGGAUGAAAGCGGGGGAUCGCAAGACCUCGCGCGAUUGGAGCGGCCGAUAUCAGAUUAGGUAGUUGGUGAGGUAAAGGCUCACCAAGCCGACGAUCUGUAGCUGGUCUGAGAGGACGACCAGCCACACUGGGACUGAGACACGGCCCAGACUCCUACGGGAGGCAGCAGUGGGAAUUUUGGACAAUGGGCGCAAGCCUGAUCCAGCAAUGCGCGUGCAGGAUGAAGGCCU
rnacentral:rRNA from 1 species